AAGUGCUCCCACCGCCCAGUCCCCGGACCGACUGUCCCACCCGCGACCCAUGCUGGCCCCAGGUUAACGCCUGCAACCCCGGAGGGCCACAAAUCAAAGGUCUGGCAUCUUGACAACAACGCUGUUCUUGUGUGGCUAAGGAGCACUCCAAAGGUAGCUAGUUCGAGUUGAAUCGUGCACGUGCUGUAAGUGUGAAAUACACCUAGGUACCAAAGAGUCCGAAGAAUGUUAACUAGCUCAUUAAUUUUUAGUGAUUGCAUGUUAAAAUGAUAAUAUUUUGAUAUAUUGGGAAAUAGAAAAACAUGUAUUGGUGGGCCUAAUUUCCCAUCUUUUAAUCCCCCUUAUUUCUUAAUAUCAGGGUCUUACUUAAAAUUAGUGCUCAAAAACUACGUGUUUAUGAACUACCACCCCUAACUUUGGCCCCAUCCUCAGCCCAACUUCUAUUUAUAAGAUGGGUGUUGCAAAGCACUGUGGAACUGAAUACGAUAGAACAAAAUGCAUUCAAUCAGUGUCCGCUAUGGGCACAGUAGAAAAGAGGAACACUACACGGGGACUUUGGCUUCUAACUGACUGCAUUCCUUAGCUGUGGCUGGCUAUCCUUUACUCUCUGCCCUAGUUCUCAUCAUUUAAGCCAGAAACAGCUCUCUCCCUUGUAGGACCUAGCUCGUGGUAUCCAGUCAGGAACCGUGGUGGCCCAACAUUCUAAACUGAGGAAGCAGGGUGUUGUCUGGGUACAAUAAUACAGAAAGAAAAUCAAUUUCUUAGUCGAUUUUAGGCUAUGACAUCUCAUUAGCCAUCUAAUUUUAUAAAUUAGAUGUAGCUAAAACAGUGAGUUGGAUGGAUGGAGUAGUCAGUUUGGGGG
rnacentral:lncRNA from 10 species